rnacentral:tRNA from 1 species
AAUCAUAUAAUUAUCUCAGUCACAUAGAAACUUAGGAUAACAA